rnacentral:rRNA from 2 species
UUCGCAAUGCCCGAAAGGGUGACGAUGCGACGCCGCGUGAGCGAAGAAGGCCCUAGGGUUGUAAAGCUCUGUCGAGGGUUAUGAAAUAUAGAUGGGUUAAUACCCCAUUUAUUUGACAAAAGCCCAAAAGGAAGCCACGGCUAACUCUGUGCCAGCAGCCGCGGUAAUACAGAGGUGGCAAGCGUUGUUCGGAAUUAUUGGGCGUAAAGAGCACGUAGGUGGGUUUGUAAGUCAGAUGUGAAAGCCUUCUGUUCAACGGAAGAAUUGCAUCUGAAACUGCAAGUCUUGAGUGUAGGAUGGGAGAAUGGAACUUCUGGUGGAGCGGUGAAAUGCGUAGAUAUCAGAAGGAACGCCGGCGGCGAAAGCGAUUCUCUGGCCUAUUACUGACACUCAGUGUGCGAAAGCUAGGGGAGCAAACGGGAUUAGAUACCCCGGUAGUCCUAGCCGUAAACGAUGGGCACUAAGUAGAGGGGUUUU